rnacentral:lncRNA from 10 species
CCAUGAGUUCUGUUUCUGUUCUCUCAUUUAUCUCAACUUUGCUUUAUUUUAAGGCUUCAUCCACUGUGCUGCCAAUUUAGAAAUUAUUCAUUUCUGGUUAUCUAAAAAUUGUCUUCUCUUAUAUUUUGCAGCUGUAAGAAGCAACAUGGACAACGCAUUACACUAGAAAAGUUUGCAUCAUGUUUCUUCCUUUAUGGUCUAGUGUUGGAUAUAUACAACUUAAGCAGUCAUUUAUUUGUGUCUCAAGAAUUAUUCAGAGCUGCGGACAUCCCCACCUUCUGUUUGCAGAUAUGCCACAUCUUCACCUUGGAAUAGUUAUGAUUGGAAAAGGAUCCAUGGGAAUGUGCUUCAGCAUUGGAAGACUCCAUAGUUGUGAACUCAUACCUACUGCAAUCAGAGACAGAUUUUGUAUGAGGGAAGCAACAAGAAAUGUCCUCUUGGAAAACACUGAGUGCUAAGAAGGCCCCAUGAAUGAUUUUACUGAUAAAAAGAAAGAAGAGGUUUUUAAAACACCAGCCAAGCCAAUUUCUCUCCCUCACUAUAAUACAGAGCUGAACUUUAAAACUUGAAUAGAAUCAUUGUUAUCUUUUUAUUUUAACAUUUGGUAGGACAAUUUCUGAAACCAGGAAAGCUAGUUUCCAAAUUAUACACAGGCCUGCAUUAAUUGCUAUAUCACAAGAAACUCCAAAAAUCCUUCAGGAAUGUCAUUUACACAUAUGUCCAAUAAUAAUGUGUAUUUCCUGAUGGCUUUCAGAAUGAAUAUUAGGAUUCUAUGGAAAAUAGUUAACAUAAAAUUGAUUAGUGAACUAGAACUUUCAAAUAAAUUUUAAUAUAAAUAUAACAAGAAAAGUGAACAAACUAUAAGUACACAUCUUCAUAAUUUUCAUAAAAUAAACACACCCAUGUAACCAAUGCCCAAAUUAAGAGCUAUUACCAGAACUCUUCAGUCUCACCUCAUUUUUCACCCAGUCACACUCCUCAUUCAAAGAAACCACUACUGGAUUGCUAAAGCUAUCACUUAGUUUUGCUUGCUGCUUUUUCUUGAUUUUUUAAAUAUUGAGGUGUAAUUUACAUAUAAUAAAAUUCACAAAUCUUAAGUGUUCAGUUAUACGUUUUGAAAAUUAUAUGUACUCAUUUAAUCACCACCCAACACAAGAAGAG